rnacentral:rRNA from 1 species
UACGAAGGGGGCUAGCGUUGCUCGGAAUCACUGGGCGUAAAGGGUGCGUAGGCGGGUCUUUAAGUCAGGGGUGAAAUCCUGGAGCUCAACUCCAGAACUGCCUUUGAUACUGAGGAUCUUGAGUUCGGGAGAGGUGAGUGGAACUGCGAGUGUAGAGGUGAAAUUCGUAGAUAUUCGCAAGAACACCAGUGGCGAAGGCGGCU